ensembl:lncRNA
GGUUUGGAAUCUGAUUACGUAAUCCAGAUUACAUGUAAUCCAUUACUACCCAUCUCUGCAUGCAAUCAAGGUCUUCGGAUACUAAUAAAGACACAAGUUUAUUUAGGCUAUUUAAUAUGCUCUGUGACAUUUUCACCCGUUUCAACUUAUAAACUCCUUGAGAUUUAAAAGUCAGUUUGAGAUUCAAAUUAAAUCAAGUUAAAAAUAAAAAUAAAAAAUACCUGAAGGUCUACGAAACAUCAGUCAAUAAAGCAUUUUUUAAACAAUGGCACUUAAAGUUUUGAACUAAAACAUUAUUUCAAGCAUAUAGCCUGUGAAUGAAUGACUAAAAAUGCAUACUUCUCAAUGAAAGAACACUUAAAGAGAGUGUAGGUUGUUCUGGUGUUUGGAUUGAUACUUCAAUAUAAUGAGGUCCAAGUUUAAGAAUAGCCAACACUAGGGUUUAGUUUGUUUGUUGUUGUUUUUCUAUUUAACAGCAUUAAAGGUGCCAUGUGUCAUGUCUGGCAAAAAAAAUCAAGUCAUACUCCACAUUCCAUACCAGAUGGGGGCAGUAUGCCUCAAUAAAGUGAAUUGGUCUACUCUAGAGUAACAAACGAGAAACGGCAUAGUCUCUAUGCUCCGCCCCUACCUUCACAACAACCCUAGAGCCAUAGCCGAAGCCUAAGAGGACGUUUUGCCUCCAGAGGAACGUUGGGUGAUGUCAAGUGAUUUUGAACAUCAGACAGCUGAUGUUGACCAAGCUAGCGCCAACCAACGUAACCAGAGCUGCCAACUCUCAAGCAUUCACCGUGAGACACACGCAAUUGACUCUUUUCACACGCUUUCACGCCACACAAUCAAGUUUGAUUUUCAUUAGCAAAAACUUGACCGCUCUGAAUAUAGUGAGUGAGUGCACGCGCGGCCGGGGCGCUCGCUCUCUCUUCUUAGGUAAUGUUACAUUUUAGCAUCAGCUUGGUAGAGACGGGCUUUGGUAGAUAACAGGUGAAAACCGGAUCGGAUCUGUGGGUAAGUUAUAGCUAGCUAAUUAUCAAACGCAGCUACGGUUAGCCAUCGCUAACAUUAGCACGUUUAUCGAACAGCCUUCGAUACAUUUCUGUUAUAACUUCCCGAAAAAAAUACGCAAACAUAUAAAACAAACUUCUAGCGAAAUACUAAGAGCAUCUUACUUACCAAUCCAAAAGAAAUGUUGCAAGUUCGGAGUCGAACCUCAUUUCUUUCAAGUCCAUCAGUUGUCUCCAGCGAUGGAAAGCAGUGCCGAUGUUUAGUCUGGUUCGGCUCCUUUUCUUAUCGGAUUUGAUUUGUGAUUCCGAGCGCGGUUGUUUCCCUGUAGCGGGUGGUGGUGGUAGGUGUCUCUUGCCAAGGGCUUCAGCCAUCCUUCCGCUCUCUUCCCUGAACUAAAAUGAAGUAGUGGGCUGUACUUUCCACACGAUUGACAUCAGGUUCAAGUACGCCCACAAGCCGUGCGAGUUAUUCGUGUAUUGCAGGUUGGCUGGUGGUUAUGUUGCCCGCAUACCGCCUCCCAUGGCCGAAACUGGUAUUACGACACCUGUCAGGCCGUGGCUAGUAAUGCUAAUGCUAAUUAAGGUUGAUAUCUCUGCAGCACUAUAACUUGACAUUUUUUUAAUGACAUCAUCGCCCUUAUUUCUUCUCAUUCUUUUGAUGCGUGUAGGUCAUUUUUUGGAUAUUUUUACCUCAAUUUUUACACAUGGCACCUUUAACUUACAAUGAAAUACGUCUUCCUUCAGGUAGACUGAAUGUUUUCCUGCCUUGCUAAAUGUUGGGCUCAUGAUAAAUAAGUUGCAUUCACCUCAAACUGAUUUUGUAAAAUCAAAAGGCGGACUGUGAACCUGGGUGCAGUUAGCGCGAGUCGCGCGCGCUGUGAACGCCUCAAACGCCUACGUUCACAAAUAACAAUGAUUUUUGCAAAAGGAAUGAUUAAUUAUCAAUUAAGAAUUUGUUAUUAUUAUGGUCUAGUGAAAAUAAUAAUAUGGGCUGCGAGAAAAUAAUAAAUAAAAAGAGUAGGGCUGCUGUGAGUGCAGGCAGCAUAUUUCAACCCAGUAGCAUGACAACAUACCGGCCCUAGUGGCCAAAAAACAGACCGAAUCCUCCUGGUGCUCCCGAUUAGCCAAUCCGGGCCUGAAUAAACAAAACUUCCCUUCUCCAGACACUAGGGUUGGGUAUCAUUUGAAUUUUAUUGAUUCCUAUUCCGAUUCUGCUUAUCGAUUCCGAUUCUUAUCGAUUCCGAUUCUUAUCGAUUCCUAGUUUCGAUUCCAAUAAGAAAAAAAAUCCAAUAUAAAAAAAUUAAGUCAAACACUUAGAUGUCAAACAUGUAUAUUCUGUCUUUUUACAAAGCAUUCUGUUGCAGCUGAAUAACAUGAGCAAAAAUCAGCAGCCUACAAAAAACUGCAAGAGGAAUAUUGCCUGUGCUUUAAAAAAUAAAUACCAUAGCAAAAACAACUAGAUUAAUAUAAAUUUCAAAUAUUAAAGUGUUAAAG